rnacentral:rRNA from 1 species
AUACGGAGGGCGCAAGCGUUGUUCGGAAUCAUUGGGCGUAAAGCGCGCGUAGGCGGCUAGGUAAGUCGGGUGUGAAAUCCCGGGGCUCAACCCCGGAACUGCACUCGAAACUGCCUGGCUAGAGUCUCGGAGAGGUAGGCGGAAUUCCCGGUGUAGAGGUGAAAUUCGUAGAUAUCGGGAGGAACACCAGUGGCGAAGGCGGCCUACUGGACGAUGACUGACGCUGAGGUGCGAAAGCGUGGGGAGCAAACAGGAUUAGAAACCCCAGUAGUCC